UAAAGAACCUACCUUAUAGACAGGGACAACUAUUGGAAACGAUAGCUAAUACCUGAUAAGAAAGAAACUCGCAUGAGAGAAGUUCGAAAGUCGGAGCAAUCUGACACUAUAAGAUGGCUUUGCGGUGCAUUAGCUAGUUGGUAGGGUAAAAGCCUACCAAGGCGACGAUGCAUAGCCGACCUGAGAGGGUGAUCGGCCACAUUGGGACUGAGACACGGCCCAGACUCCUACGGGAGGCAGCAGUG
rnacentral:rRNA from 1 species